AUGAUGUGCGGUUUCAGUACUACUAGGUGUGAGGAGGAGGAGGUUAGCCUUGAUGGGAAGGUGGUACCUCAGAAGGACACCUUUCGAUAUUUGGGGUCAAUGCUGCAGGAGGAUGGGGGUAUUGAUGAAGAUGUGAACCAUCAAAUCAAAGCCGGAUGGAUGAAGUGGCGCCAAGCUUCUGGCAUUCUCUGUGACAAGAGAGUACCACAAAAGCUAAAAGGCAAGUUCUACAGGACGGCUGUUCGACCCGCAAUGUUGUAUGGCGCUGAGUGUUGGCCGACUAAAAGGCGACAUGUUCAACAGUUAGGUGUGGCGGAGAUGGGUAUGUUGAGAUGGAUGUGUGGCCACACGAGGAAGGGUAGAGUCCGGAAUGAUGAUAUACGAGAUAGAGUUGGGGUAGCACCAAUUGAGGAGAAGCUUGUCCAACAUCGUCUGAGAUGGUUUGGGCAUAUUCAGCGCAGGCCUUCAGAAGCUCCACUGCAUAGCGGGCGGCUAAAGCGUGCGGAGAAUGUCAAGAAAGGUCGGGGUAGACCGAAUUUGACAUGGGAGGAGUCCGUUAAGAGAGACCUAAGAGCAUCUCCAACAGCCGCGCUAAACUAG
rnacentral:rRNA from 1 species